rfam:Myotis lucifugus cont2.8517, whole genome shotgun sequence.
AGAGGCCCUCCGUGGCUGGGGUGGAACGCUUGCCUCGUCACCACGGUAAUGAAGCAAGCAUUCCGCCAGGUCGCUCACGCUGCCUGC